GGAGGGAUGGCAGAGUGGUCGAAUGCGACGGUCUUGAAAACCGUAAGACUCGCAAGGGUCUCCAGGGUUCGAAUCCCUGUCCCUCCGCCA
rnacentral:tRNA from 3 species